rnacentral:lncRNA from 1 species
ACCUUGGUUUUUGUAUUCCAAUGUAAUAUGAAAGUGUCAGCCUGCUUUUCUCUUCUUUUGGAUGUAUUCCUUGGUGAAGUCAUGUGAACUUUGCUGUGAACAUUACUUGAGCAAUCUUGUCUAUAUGUGUGAUGGGUAGGAUUGGUAUUUUUGUGAGUUUUUGGUUAGUUUUUCAUUUUUAUAAUGAUAUUUUUUUUAUUUUAUUCUAAGAAUAUAAUUUGCUUUGCUAGUUGUCAGAGUGAUUUGUCCUUUUGCUGAUUUUCCUUUGUGCUCUAUUGUUCUUUUCCACGUACUUGCAAAAACAAAGAAAGUCAAAUGUUUUUAAGUUUAAGAUAAAGCUGCAGGAUUUAAAUUUAAACUCAAGACAUAAGAUAAUUAGUGGAUAGGAUGUUAUAUUUAUAAGUUUAGCUUCCACCCACCAGUUUCAGUUUAAAACUUUCCUUUUCCCCUUUAUAAUAAAUUAGAAGAAAAAAUUUACAUGACAUAUCCAAUUAAGUCGCCAUUUCAUCGAAGAAACAAUAUAGAUAAUUAAAGACUAAUAUUAGAGAGACUAAAUUUAUAGAUAAAUUUUUGAAAACUAAAGAACAUAGAAGUUGAUAAUUGAUUUAUUACUUAAACAUUGAUACACGUGCUUAUUCUUAUGGAUGACAUAUCAUUUAGUUUGUAAAUUUAGUCUUCAAAUUUAAUCUCUCUAACAUUACUCAUAAUUAAAACAAGAAAGAAUAUAUAUAGUUUUUUUGGGGAAGAAAUUUUAAACUAAUAUGUGGGUGGAAGAGCAUUUGUCCGAAACUAAAAUUUUCUUUUAUUCUUUUGAUGAUAAGCAUGUGGUGAUUGCUUCUAUUAAUUGUUCAUUUAGCUUGCAAUUUGCGAAUCGCAAAGCUUAAGAUACUAACAUUAAUGCAACUGUUUUUAUUCUUUAAUACCGGUAGUUGCAAUAGUUCAAUGCAGUAUUCCUCUAGGUAACU